rnacentral:lncRNA from 1 species
AAGCCUGCCCUCGAAGUCAAUCUUACCUGAAGUGGGCCAUCUGGGGAGAUUCGAACACAGUCAUUGCCCUGUCUUACCUUGAGGCCAGGGGGACCAAGUGUGACCUAAGGGAACAGAAGAAGGAAGAGAAUAUUAACUUUAGGGAGCAACCAGCUGCCCAGAGAGAGCAAGCAAGUCAGCUGGGUUCACACAGCAUGAUGGCAGGGCCAGAGUCCCACCCCCAACUCUGCCUCCUUGGCCAAUUAGCAUGCUGUACUCUGCUUUUCAAGGCAAUAAAGCCAACAUAGGGGUCGACUUUC